rnacentral:rRNA from 1 species
ACCAGACUCCUACGGGAGGCAGCAGUGGGGAAUAUUGCACAAUGGGGGAAACCCUGAUGCAGCGACGCCGCGUGAGUGAAGAAGUAAUUCGUUAUGUAAAGCUCUAUCAGCAGGGAAGAAAAUGACGGUACCUGAGUAAGAAGCCCCGGCUAACUACGUGCCAGCAGCCGCGGUAAUACGUAGGGGGCAAGCGUUAUCCGGAUUUACUGGGUGUAAAGGGAGCGUAGACGGUUAUGUAAGUCUGGAGUGAAAGCCCGGGGCCCAACCCCGGGACUGCUUUGGAAACUGUGUAACUGGAGUACAGGAGGGGCAGGCGGAAUUCCUGGUGUAGCGGUGAAAUGCGUAGAUAUCAGGAGGAACACCGGCGGCGAAGGCGGCCUGCUGGACUGAAACUGACGUUGAGGCUCGAAAGCGUGGGGAGCAAACAGGAUUAGAUACCCCCGUAC